rnacentral:rRNA from 1 species
GACGAAGGAUGCAAGCGUUAUCCGGAUUCAUUGGGUUUAAAGGGGGCGUAGGUGGCCUUAUAAGUCAGUGGUGAAAUCUCUCAGCUUAACUGAGAAAUUGCCAUUGAUACUGUAGGGCUUGAGUACAGAUGCCGUUGGCGGAAUAUGACAUGUAGUGGUGAAAUACAUAGAGAUGUCAUAGAACACCGAUUGCGAAGGCAGCUGGCGAAACUGUAACUGACACUGAGGCUCGAAAGUGCGGGGAUCAAACAGG